CCAUGCGGAUGCUGUAGGAGUUCUGCCACUUGGCCAGCGGGGUCACGGCGUGCAUGUCGACCUGCGGAGAGCCAGACGGCAACGAGAGGCUUCGCUCUGGGACGCGGGCGGCAGCGACGAACCUGUGGUGAUGCAGAAAUACGUCUCAUGAGGGGAGACGUGAUGGAUGCGGUGGUGCUUGCGAGGAAGGAUGAUGUGGCAGUCCUGCAGGAACACCACCCAGCCAGGAAGGCCAAACUCUGGUGGAAACCUUGAGGACUCACCUUUCCAAAGAUGGGUAGAUCCACCGAUCCCCAGGUGUCGGCCCCCCAGUGUACGAGUCCCG